rnacentral:rRNA from 1 species
UCGACCUGAGGUCAGGCAAGAA